rnacentral:rRNA from 1 species
CGUGUAGGCGGAACUUUAAGUCGGUGGUGAAAUCCUGCAGCUUAACUGCAGAAUGGCCCUCGAUACUGAAGUUCUUGAGUGCGGCAGAGGGAGAUGGAAUUCAUGGUGUAGCGGUGAAAUGUGUAGAUAUCAUGAAGAACACCGGUAGCGAAGGCGGUCUCCUGGUCCGUAACUGACACUGAGGCGCGAAAGCGUGGGGAGCAAACAGGAUUAGAUACCCUGGUAGUCCACGCCUUAAACGAUGGGUACUCGGUGCUGGGCCGCAAGGUUCAGUGCCAAAGCUAACGCAUUAAGUACCCCACCUGGGGAGUACGAUCGCAAGGUUGAA